rnacentral:rRNA from 1 species
AAGGAAUAACGUAGAGAAAUUUGCGCUAAUACCUUAUAAUGACUCCGGUCCAAAGAUUUAUCGCCGAGGGAUUAGCCCGCGCUAGAUUAGUUUGUUGGUGAGGUAAGAGCUCACCAAGACUACGAUCUAUAGCUGGUCUUAGAGGAUGAUCAGCCACACUGGUACUGAGACACGGACCAGACUCCUACGGGAGGCAGCAGUGAGGAAUAUUGCGCAAUGGAGGAAACUCUGACGCAGCCAUGCCGCGUGAGUGAAGAAGGCCCUAGGGUUGUAAAGCUCUUUCAGAUGCGAAGAUAAUGACGGUAACAUCAGAAGAAGCUCCGGCUAAAUUCGUGCCAGCAGCCGCGGUAAUACGAAUGGAGCGAGCGUUGUUCGGAAUCAUUGGGCGUAAAGCGUAUGUAGGCGGACUUGAAAGUCAGAAGUGAAAUCCCGAGGCUCAACCUCGGAAUUGCUUUUGAAACUCCAAGUCUCGAGUCCCGGAGGUUGACGGAAUUCCUAGUGUAGAGGUGAAAUUCGCAGAUAUUAGGAGGAACACCAGUGGCGUAGCGGUCAACUGGACGGGUACUGACGCUGAGAUACGAAAGCGUGGGGAGCAAACAGGAUUAGAUACCCUGGUAGUCCACGCCGUAAACGAUGUGUGCUAGUUGUCGGGUCCAUAGGAUUCGGUGACGCAGCUAACGCACUAAGCACACCGCCUGGGGAGUACGGUCGCAAGAUUAAAACUCAAAGGAAUUGACGGGGACCGCACAAGC